rnacentral:rRNA from 1 species
CUAAUGCACCGGAUCCCAUCAGAACUCCGCAGUCAAGCGUGCUUGGGCGAGAGUAGUACUAGGAUGGGUGACCUCCUGGGAAGUCCUCGUGUUGCACCCC